GUGUAGCUCACCUAAGUCUCUGUAUCAAUCAUGCUGCUAUGCCCACUAGGCCACUAGAGAUACAUGUGCCUGUGCAACAAAAAUGCACAGCAAGUGUAGCAUGAGUACAAAAAUAAUGUAUACUCAGUAAGUAUCCGUCUAAUCUCAAAGAAGUAUAGACGAGAGGUCGAAUUUGACACUUACUAAAGGUUUAAUAAUAAUAAUACCAAUAAUAUAGAAAAUCGGGAAUUUUCAUAAAAAUGACUUUAACUCAAUAUCAUGGGGCAAGUAAACAAUUCUUUUAUUAAUAGAAAAUUUCCAAAUUUAUUUUCGUCAUUUAUACAUUUAUCUCAUGACAGGGAGAACAAAUAUCAACAUCUAUAAAUCUCAAGGCAAGCAAUACAAGCAUGCGCAAAUCAUGCCGAGGUCGUACGGUCCGAUCCAACAAUAUUUAAAAUGUGCACUACUAGAGGGUCGAAUGGCGCGAAUCAUAGAUGCAUCUAUUUAAUCUACCGAGGCAUUCGGCCCAUUCCAGAAUAUAUAAACACAUACAAACAGUCAAUCAAGAAUUCAUCAAGGAGCAAUUAUCCAAGAAAAGACAAUUUCUCUUUUAAAAAUCUAGAAACAAUGACUAGUCUUUUAGAAAUUUAUUUACACGUUCGAUAUGUUUUAAGCAUUUUUAAAUUGGCAACAAGAUUUCAAAUAUUGAAAGUAAAGCAUGCUUUUGGGUCCUAAACUACCCGUACAUAAGCAUAAUAGUAGCUACGCACGGACUCUCGUCACCUCGUGCGUACGUAACCCCUACAAAUAUAAGCACAUAUCAAAUUAAUUCACCUAUGGGGAUAAUUCCCUCUUACAAGGUUAGAAAGGAGACUCACCUCGCUCUGAAGCCUAUAUCCAAAUUCAAGAACGCAAUCAAACCUCCAAAUCAAAGCCGAAUGAUCCAAAACUAUUCAAAUGGGGUAAGAACUAGUCAAUACAUGCUCAAAAGUCCAUAUUCUAAUUAUUAAACCAAUUACCCAACCCUAAAUGCAAGGUUCCUAAAAUUCAUCCCCGGGCUCACGUGCCCGGAUUCUGAAAGUUUUUGAAAAAAGUUGUUACCCAUAACCUAAGGAUCACAAUUAUAUGGUUUCUACUAAAUUCCAUAACAAAUUUCGUGGUUAAAUCUCAUUUUUUAUCAAAACCCUAGGUUCUUACCUACACCCUUGAUUUUCUCUAAUUUUUACAUGUAAAUCUACCCAUCAUCUAUGUAUUUAAACUCAUGUUGUGUAGAAAUUACUUACCUAAAAGUGCUAGGUGAAAACCUUCUUCCGAAAGCUCCAAAAAUCGCCUAAGACCAAGUGGGAAAUAAAGGAAAUGGGUCUUAGGAUAAUAAAGCCCUGGUUCCCAUCGCAAAUGUCGCAUUUGCGACAAAUGCAUCGCAAAUGCGAAGCCAAGCCAUCCCUGCCUAGGUCGCAUUUGCGACCAGAUUCUUCGCAAUAUGCGAAGGUGACAGCCUCGCAAAAGCGACCCUUAGUUCGCAGAUGCGAACUUUUCCCACAGCAACCCAAGCUCGCAAAUGCAAUCUCCAUCUCGCAAAUGCGAUGGUCACAUUUGUGAUCAAAACACUACAAAUGCGGUCAUACCAGUACUAGCAAUCCCACUUCUUAACAAAUCACUCCGAAGCUACUCUGAAUCUCACCCGAGCUCCCGGGGCUCCAAACGAAACACUCGCACAAGUCUAAAAACAUAACACGGAUUUGCUCGAGGCCUCAAAUCACAUCAAACAACGCUAAAAUCACGAAUCACACCCCAAUUCAAACUUGAUGAACUUGAGAAACUCCAACUUCUACUUUCGAUGUUUAAACCUAUCAAAUCACGUCCAAUUGACCUUAGAUUUUGCACGCAAGUCACAUUUGACAUUGCGAACCUACUCCAACUUUCGGAAUCAGAUUUUGACCCCGAUAUCAAAAAGUCCACUUUCGGUCAAACUUCUCAAAAACCUUCAAAUUUCCAACUUUCGCCAAAUGACUCCAAAAUGACCUACGAACCUCCAAAUAUACUUCCGAUUGCGCUACCAAUACCAGAAUUACCAUACGGAGCUAUUCCCAGACUUGGAAUCCCAAAAGGAUAACGAUAACAUUGAAUUGCACUUCAACCCAAAUUUAUGAAAUUCUUCCAAAAUGCUAAUUUCCUCAAUAGGCGCCGAAACGCUCCCGGGUCAUCCAAAGCCUGAUCCGGACAUACACCCAAGUCCAGAAUCAUCAUACGAACCUGUUGGAACCUUCAAAUCCCGAUUCUGAGGUUGUUUACUCAAAAAUCAAUUCUUAGUCAAUUCUUCCAACUUAAAGCUUCCGAAAUGGGAAUUAUCUUUCCAAAUUAACUCUGAACUUUCCGAAAUUCAAUUCCGACCACGCGUACAAGUUAUAAUACCAGAAGUGAAGUUGUUUAUGGCCUCAAACUGCCGAACGACGCGCUAGAGCUCAAAACGACCGGUUGGGUCGUUACGGAGACUUUAUUGUGUUACGUUUUCUAAGCUAGAGUUAGUUUAGAAAUGGGUUGCUACAAUUGUGUUGAUUGUAGGGGUUCGGGUACUAGAGAUAAUUCCCUUGAUUACUGAGUUGUUACCUAAAUUUGCUCCUUGAAGUUAGUAGAGAUUUGGAGAAAAUCCUAUUGGACAGGUCGUGAUUUUUUACUCCCUUGAGCAAGUAGGUUUUUCACGUAAAAAUCUCAGUGGUAAUUAAUUUUUCGCAAUUGUUCUUGUUUGAUUGUGCUAAAAUAGUCCAAAGAAUCAAGUUCUUUGAAAAUGCAAAAAUCAGGCAAAACACAAUUCAACCCCUUCUGUGAGUGUAGUCUAAAAUAGCAGGUGAGGACCGCCCAAAAUAUAUAAAGAGUUCAAAGAACUCAUUCAUCUUCAAUGUGAGAUUGUGUCUCUCGCAGCCUAACAGGUGCAGUUAGUGCCUUAGUGGUUUGUGUGGGGCUACAUACUUAAAAUGGUUAUGCUUAAUUUGACUUUGAUAUCAUUGCAACUCUGUUUGUCCAACCCCGUUAUAAUUUGUUCAAGAAAAGUUAUUGCCAAAAUGGGGCGGUUAAGCUGCAGCUUUCUUCACUUACACACUUUUCUUUUCCAUCCAAACACAAUUGCCACAUGUGGAUAAUUUGAACAACGAGGCACUACUUAUCAAUUGUUUAGGGUCAAUAUUUUGGCGUAACUGUUGCUUGAUUAAGAAACCGUUUUGUUAGAGAAAAUGCACUAAUGAUAGAAUAUAUUUAUACGAUCUUGCCACUUAAUAGGGGAGCUAGAGUAUUAGAUGUGAGUUCGAACAGAUUUCAUAACUUUUACUUAAUUAGAAAAUUCACUAAAUAUGCAUCAAUAUUUAAUUAGGAACCCAAUAACUAAGAUGAACUAUGUGUUCGAGACAAAUUCAGAACUAAUAAACUUUAAAUUUUGAUUACUCUAUCUCUAUCGCUUAUAGUUGAUUAUGAGUAACUGUUUAAUAAGAGUUCACAGAUAACCUAUAAUAAAUAGCAAAAAUAACCUACUAGUUAAUAGAAUAAUUUUCAAUUUAUAAUAUAAUAUGGUUUUAAAAAUCUUUACACAAUAAACAUAACUUAAAUCCAUUCAAAUACUUACAUUUAUUUUUUUGGCGUCGAACAACAAAACAUUUUGUUCAUGUAACUAUUGUCACGAUCCAAGUUAAUAGCACAUACUGUUCGCUUUGGCCCAAUAGACCUUACGGAUUUAUCCUUUAGGCCACGCAAUCAUCGAGCCUAAAGUACGAGUGCCAUGUGAAUUAUAUAUCACGCCUUAUAAAACUCUUCACUUUUCUCUCUCAUUCAAUAUGGGAUUCAUUUAUGGUGACAUGUGCCCUCCGUCUUCAGAACCAGGGGCGGAUCUACAAUAUUGGGUACGGGUUCCUGGGAAUCCAAUAACUUUUGUCCGGUCUUGUAUUUGUAUCGAGAAAUACACUAAAUGUAUAAAUAAAUUUAGCUGGGAACCCAAUACUGGAAGCGACUGUUGGUUCAGCGGCAAAUGAGGACCCUCCUUAGACUAUGUUUUUGUAAGUUGGUUGAUGAGGGUUCGAAUCCUAUAUUUGACAGUUUUUUAACUUCACCUUUGGUUUUUUCACAAAACGACAUCCGCAGGCACUUGUGUUGUUUCUAUUUUCUUCUUAAUAAACACUACAAAUGAAGUUAAAUUAAAAGAGGCCAGCCAAAUAAAAGAACUUGCUGAAAUUUUUUGUCCCGAUCAGUUAUUAUUGUAUAUUAUUUGAGAUCACUGGAAAUGGGAACCUAUAAGGUUCAAAUCCUGGAUCCGCCUCUGUUCAGAACAUUGCCAGCUUGAAAGCUUGUCUGUCCUACUUGACCCGUCAUUGUCGGCCCGCUCUCCAUCAUGAGCAUCAUAACUAUCACAUUAGGAUUCCUUUUAGUACCAAAUGGUUCUAAUUGCUAAAGUAUAAAAGAAAGUAAUGAGAUUAGUGAAACCUAAAAGAUUUAUAAAGGUGGUCUCCGUGGAAAUAAACUACUAGGAGACAAUAAUCUUUUGUUUGCUCUACGCCAAAAAAAAAAAAAAAAAAAAAACUUUUUCUUUUUCCUUUUGUGGGCAUAAUUCUAGAAGUUAAUCUAAAGGAGAUUAUUGUUGGAAAAUGGAUAGGGUUAAUAAUUCAACAGAGGAGCAGUAGGGGGUAUAUAGUUAUAUGUGAAUAAAGAAUGAUAUAUUCCAUAAGAAAACAGCAUUUAAGGGAGAAGAAGAUCGAUGAGAAGCCAGCUGUAGUGUUCAUUGUUUUGUAUGAAUUAAAGGCUAGUGUUAUUAAGUGUUGGGUAGUUGUAUGAUAUUAAUAUGGUUAUUUACCACUUCUUAUUUAAAAUUUUGGGUCCACCGUGACACUCUGGGGCUGUACACUUCCUUUAUAUCAUUCACAUACCCUGUGAAAACGAGACCAGAGUCAAUCUCUUUUUCUUUGCUGCGAAAUCAGAAUUUUUACUAAUGUGUUAAAAUAUAAAAAAAAAAAUAAACACAUAAAAAGUCAAAGUAUAUAUAUAUAUAUGUAUUUUUUUCUUUUUUACCUGACUAUGCAGUAUAAUUUUUUCCGGUAAAAGGGUAUCAGUUAACAUAUGCUUCCUCCCUCUCUCAACUCGGAUACUAAAAAAUAUUUUGACAUGAUAUUUCAUUUCUUUAUUUCCUGCUUAAUUAAUAUUUUUUCUUCAAAAAUCAUUCAAACAAUUAAAUUUCACCUGGAAAAAACGUUUAACAUUUUUAACAACUGGAUUUUCUCUAUAAUUUUAUUGGAUAUAGAAUAUAUUUUCCUUGUCGUUUGUUUACUGUGAAACUUAUUAUAUGAUGAAUCUUUUUGUAUAUAUGAAGAUGAUUAAAAACAAAAAGUCAGAUAAUAAUACUAGUGAAACUUUUGUUUUUCUUCCUUUAAGUUUGAAAAUGGUAUCAACUUCAAUAAGCGAUAAUUUUAUCUUUGACACACCCAUUAAGAAAAUUAUAAACUCCUAAAGAAAGAAAAUAUAUUCACUAAAUUAAACUUAAUUAAUUGUUACCCUGACACAUUGGAAUAUGUAAAUAAGGGCAAAUUUUAAAAAAAUAAAAUUAAUUCCUUCUUGAUUACGUAAGUGGACACUUAUUUUGGACAAAAAUAAAAAGGUAAGUAUUACUAAUUACUAAGUAUGAGAAUUUUUGGCUAAAAUUAUUCCUUAUCUUUAAGGGUAAGUUUAACUUUAUCCUCCACAUAUACCUUGAGUACCAAUUGUCUUCUAAAUUUGCAAAAGUUGAGCGCUUUUCGUCCAUACAACAUCCAUUAGAAAGCUAGCAGCAACAUGCGAUCUGCAGGUGAUACGUUUCAGUUUUCACCUCCAAAUCUUCUUUCAAGAAUUGUUCGGCUGAAAAUUACAUACGUAGUUUCACUAAUUCAAACAAGACCCAGAUCGCGGGCAAGUCCCAGAUAGCAUUGUUAGUACACUGUAUUUAUAAAAUAAUUUUGGAAAAGGAAAUUAACAUAUAAAAUAGAAAUGUAGAAGAAACAGAAUUUUAUCCGAGCCCACUGAAUUCAUAGUGUUUCCUUAAAGAACUUAAUCCCUUCCUAAUACCCGAGGUUGUGGAUUAUUUCCUCCUAGAAUAGAACGGAUUACACACUGGUGUAACGGUACUUCAAACCCCAUUAUUUCAACGAACACAAGUUUUAAAGCUUAAAUCGUCCAUACUGACAUUCUAAGUUUACCGACUAUGUAGGUUGUUUGAAUCCGGUGGAAGUAAUAAUUUUCUCCGGUAGAAAAGCUGGCAAUCGACUGAUUUUGGGGGUGAAAGAGAGCUGGAUUUAAAUAAAAAAAAUGUUUCAUGUGUAGUUGAGUAAUGGCUCUGCUAGUUUUCUAGCGAAUGUCAUGUUAUUUGUUAGUUGGACUAAAGGCGGUUAACUUUUGCUAACUUAGAGGAUAAUUCACGCUCAAUAUUAUAUUUGAAGGACAAAGUUAAAUUUACCCUGAAAAGAUAAGGGAUAAUUUUGGUAAAAAAAAACUCCUAAGUAUGAGCAAUAGCAAACGCAUUUAGAAGUGAAACAAUUACUAUGAACAUAUUAUUUGAUUAAUAUCUUCAUAAGUAUUUACGAGAGAGAGAGAGUCCAUUGUUAUUUUAUUUUCUCUUAUUAAUUAUUAAUGUUCAUUCAAUUCUGAGGCUAGCUAACUUGGUUUAAAAAAACCAUUCUUACAAAGGAGUAAUUACGUACUAGUACAAGUAAAGAAAAGGAAAAAAAAUAUGUAGUGAUAGAAUUAUCAACUUAAACAAUUUUUUGCAAUACUACAUUAUUUAUGCUAACAAACACCACAUAUUCCUUUCUCGCAAAAUCUACAUAGGCAUAAUCACCCAGCUAGUAUAGGCGAAAAACCUAAAAUAACCUAACUGCAAAAAAAAAAAUUAAAAGUUAUGGAAUUAAAAAAAAUUACAUGUGUAAUUAAACUAAGCUAUCUAUACCAUAAUUUGUACAAAAUUGAAAUUGGUGAAUACAAAUAUUGAAUCACCAAUAUAAUACAGAGGAAAACUCUACAACCAAAAGACAAACUAAUGAAUGAAAAUUAAAUUACUAUACCUUUAACGGAUAGCAAGAGGAACUCUAAAUGCAGAAUUCAAGCCUUUCUUUUCUUGUUGUGUAGAGGAUUUGGUCCAGUGGGAACUCUCCUCUUAUCGGACUCAAAGCCUCUAGCAAACGGCGCACUCGCCUGAGGUUGAAAAACUUGAUGUUUUCUCGCCAUCGACGGACCGGAAAAUCGUGCCGCCGGUGGACGGCCGAUGGCGUGAAGUAAUACAAUUUGAGAAGUGAAGAG
rnacentral:lncRNA from 1 species